rnacentral:rRNA from 1 species
ACGGCUACCUUGUUACGACUUAGCCCCAGUCACCAGUUUUGCCCUAGGACGCUCCUCGCGGUCACGUACUUCAGGCACCCCCGGCUCCCAUGGCUUGACGGGCGGUGUGUACAAGGCCCGGGAACGUAUUCACCGCGCCAUGGCUGAUGCGCGAUUACUAGCGAAUCCAGCUUCAUGGAGUCGAGUUGCAGACUCCAAUCCGAACUGAGACAGGCUUUCGGGUUCCGCUCCCUGUCACCAGGUGGCUUCCCGCUGUACCUGCCAUUGUAACACGUGUGUCGCCCCGGACGUAAGGGCCGUGCUGAUUUGACGUCAUCCCCGCCUUCCUCGCAGCUUGCGCCGGCAGUCCCGCCAGAGUUCCCGGCUUUACCCGUUGGCAACUGGCGGUAGGGGUUGCGCUCGUUAUGGCACUUAAGCCGACACCUCACGGCACGAGCUGACGACAACCAUGCAGCACCUCGACUCAGACCAUUGCUGGCUACAUCGUUUCCAAUAUAUUCCUGAGUCGUUUGAGCCCGGGUAAGGUUCCUCGCGUAUCAUCGAAUUANACCACAUGUUCCUCCGCUUGUGCGGGCCCCCGUCAAUUCCUUUGAGUUUCACCGUUGCCGGCGUACUCCCCAGGUGGAG